rnacentral:rRNA from 1 species
UACGUAGGGGGCAAGCGUUGUCCGGAUUUAUUGGGCGUAAAGAGCGUGUAGGCGGUUUUACGAGGUCCGCUGUGAAAACUCGAGGCUCAACCUCGAGCUGUCGGUGAAACCGUGAGCUAGAGUCCGGAAGAGGAGAGUGGAAUUCCUGGUGUAGCGGUGAAAUGCGCAGAUAUCAGGAGGAACACCAGCGGCGAAGGCGGCGCUCUGGGCCGGUACUGACGCUGAGGAGCGAAAGCGUGGGUAGCAAACAGG